AGUGAACGCUGGCGGUAGGCCUAACACAUGCAAGUCGAACGGCAGCACAGAGGAGCUUGCUCCUUGGGUGGCGAGUGGCGGACGGGUGAGGAAUACAUCGGAAUCUACUCUGUCGUGAGGGAUAACGUAGGGAAACUUACGCUAAUACCGCAUACGACCUACGGGUGAAAGCAGGGGAUCUUCGGACCUUGCGCGAUUGAAUGAGCCGAUGUCGGAUUAGCUAGUUGGCGGGGUAAAGGCCCACCAAGGCGACGAUCCGUAGCUGGUCUGAGAGGAUGAUCAGCCACACUGGAACUGAGACACGGUCCAGACUCCUACGGGAGGCAGCAGUGGGGAAUAUUGGACAAUGGGCGCAAGCCUGAUCCAGCCAUACCGCGUGGGUGAGGAAGGCCUUCGGGUUGUAAAGCCCUUUUGUUGGGAAAGAAAUCCAGCUGGCUAAUACCCGGUUGGGAUGACGGUACCCAAAGAAUAAGCACCGGCUAACUUCGUGCCAGCCGCCGCUGUAA
rnacentral:rRNA from 1 species